rnacentral:rRNA from 1 species
UACGGAGGGUGCAAGCGUUGUCCGGAAUCACUGGGCGUAAAGGGCGCGUAGGCGGCUCAUGAAGGCUGUGGUGAAAGUCCGGGGCUCAACCUCGGAUCGGCCGUGGAUACGGGCAGGCUAGAGGUAGGUAGGGGAGAAUGGAAUUCCCGGUGUAGCGGUGAAAUGCGCAGAUAUCGGGAGGAACACCGGUGGCGAAGGCGGUUCUCUGGGCCUUACCUGACGCUGAGGAGCGAAAGCGUGGGGAGCGAACAGG